AAGUCGUAACAAGGUUUCCGUAGGUGAACCUGCGGAAGGAUCAUUAACACGUAUCCAACGUUAAACAACCCUGUGAACUUUCAGCCGCUCUUGUAGCCCUCGAGGAACAGCAAUCCCGGUAAAUCAUUGCCGAACAGUUUUGAUUCGGGACCUCUGUCCAAAAGGUAUCAAGUUACAAUUGAAGCGUAGGAGCAGUGGCAUGGCUUCCCCAAGCGGCUAGUGAAAUGACAUUGUCACUAGUUGUGUAAGGAUAACGCCUCACGGUUGCUAGAGGUCGAUCACCGGCCGGCAGACAUGUCACAGGGCUUUACGCCCCUUAACCACCCCUUGCAAUGCCCCGCCUAGAUGGUAACGCUAGGUAAAAAAAACCGAACAACUGUUAACAAUGGAUAUCUUGGUUCUC
rnacentral:misc_RNA from 1 species